AAUGCCCCAUGGUGAUGUCCUCAGGCAUCUGAGGUCAUCUAAAGAUCCGUCGGAUGGGGAUAGGCUCGCGUGACAUUAGCUAGACGGCGGGGUAACGGCCCACCGUGGCGACGAUGUCUAGGGGUUCUGAGAGGAAGGUCCCCCACACUGGAACUGAGACACGGUCCAGACUCCUACGGGAGGCAGCAGUGAGGAAUAUUGGUCAAUGGCCGGAAGGCUGAACCAGCCAUGCCGCGUGAAGGUCAGUGCCCUAUGGGCGUUAAACUUCUUUUGUGCGGGAGCAAUAAUGGUCACGUGUGGCCAGACGAGAGUACCGUACGAAUAAGCAUCGGCUAACUCCGUGCCAGCAGCCGCGGUAAUACGGGGGAUGCAAGCGUUAUCCGGAUUUAUUGGGUUUAAAGGGUGCGUAGGCUGUGAGGUAAGUCAGCGGUGAAAUGCCCCCGCUCAACGGGGUGAAGUGCCAUUGAUACUGCCUUGCUGGAAUGCGGAUGCCGUGGGAGGAAUGUGUGGUGUAGCGGUGAAAUGCAUAGAUAUCACACAGAACACCGAUUGCGAAGGCAUCUCACGAAUCCGCGAUUGACGCUGAUGCACGAAAGCGUGGGUAUCAAACAGGAUUAGAUACCCUGGUAGUCCACGCUGUAAACGAUAAUGACUAACCGUCGGCGAUACACAGUCGGUGGCCCAGC
rnacentral:rRNA from 1 species